UACGUAGGGUGCUAGCGUUGUCCGGAUUUAUUGGGCGUAAAGGGCUCGUAGGCGGCGUGUCGCGUCGGGAGUGAAAUCUCCCGGCUCAACUGGGAGGGUGGUCGCGAGACGGCAGGGCUUGAGGCUCGGUGAGGGGCGUGGAAUUCCGGGUGGAGCGGUGAAAUGCGUAGAGAUCCGGAAGAACACCGGUGGCGAAGGCGGUGAGCUGGGCAGUUGCUGACACUGAGGCGCGACAGCGUGGGGAGCAAACAGG
rnacentral:rRNA from 1 species